rnacentral:lncRNA from 1 species
AGCUGUUGUAGGCCAAUUUUAGCCCAUUUACAUCAAAACCCAAUUUAGCCUUACCUAACCCACCAAAAUUAAACCCAAAACCCAAAAUCUUAACUACCCAAAGCCCAAUUUACAUCAAAACCCCAACGGCCCAAACCCUAAGCCCAAAUCAAAAUAAAAAAACCUAGCCCACAACUUAAACUUUUCUCAACUAGCCACUCCUUUUCCACCACCAACUCCACUAGCCACUCUUUUUCCACCACCAACUCCACUAGCCACACCUUUUCC